GUGCCAGCCGCCGCGGUAAUACGUAGGUGGCAAGCGUUAUCCGGAAUUAUUGGGCGUAAAGCGCGCGUAGGCGGUUUUUUAAGUCUGAUGUGAAAGCCCACGGCUCAACCGUGGAGGGUCAUUGGAAACUGGAAAACUUGAGUGCAGAAGAAGAAAGUGGAAUUCCAUGUGUAGCGGUGAAAUGCGCAGAGAUAUGGAGGAACACCAGUGGCGAAGGCGACUUUCUGGUCUGUAACUGACGCUGAUGUGCGAAAGCGUGGGGAUCAAACAGGAUUAG
rnacentral:rRNA from 1 species